CGACCAAACCUCCCUUUCCUCCUCUUCGUUCUCCUCUUUCGACCAAUACCGUCCUCCUCUUCGUUCUCCGUCUCCGACCAAAACCCUCCUCGUCUUCGUUCUCCAGCUCCAACCAGAACCCGACCCUCCUCGUCCUCCUUCUUUUUUUUUGCGUCGGACCAGCUCCUCUGCUUGAAGACGGUGAACAUAAUCCGAGUUUGAGGCCGGUGAUUUGGAGAAAAUUUGAGCUUUUCUUUCAUAGGAAAUGAAGCGACAAUGUGAUGAGAAACGAGAGGUAGCAACUGCAAGUAGCACAACAGAAAGAAAAAGGGAGAUCAAAACGUGGGAAGGGCGAAAGCUUUACUUUGCAGCAACUGCAAGUAGCUUGUGAGGAAUAUGAUGAGGAAGCUACACUGUGUGUUUUCCGGUUGAAGUCCCUGAAGCAAGGGCAAGCCCGAAGUCUUCUAACACAAGCAGCUCGCCACCAUGUUGCUCAGUUGAACUUCUUCUGGAAAGGACUCAAGUCACUUGAGGCUGUCGAGCCACAUGUUAGGUUGGUUACAGAGGAGGAAGGUGAUGAGAGUGUUCGCAGGGUUCAGAUGAUGAGGUAGGUGAUAAGAGUGGUCAUGCAACCGGGAGUCAGACUAAGAACCCCGGUGUCAAUCCCAAAUCUUCAGGAAACUAGAAAAAUGGUAAUUCUUUAUUGUCAGUGCUUUGAAUUUUGAGUCUAAAAUGAUCUGAGAAAAGGGAAUGUAGAAAGAUGUUGAUUCUGUUUGGUACCAUUAUAUGGUUCAUUUGAAGAACAUAACAGGGGAUUAUUACAAAGAGUGAUUAGUUAACUCUGUGUGUAUGUUGUCUAAAUUAUAAGGACUCUCAACACCUGUUAAUUAAACUUUAAAGGGUUCAUUUUCAAGACCAUGUCACUUUGGCCCAUGUGUCUUUUGCAUCCCACCACAAGCCACCGACUAUUUGUUCACACACAUUUAUACUAUUUCAGUUGAAGAUUUCUUCUACUACACUAAUACUGUGAUUGCUCUCUCUUUUUCAUAUUCCUUCCGUAUCUCAAUUGCCAACACAUUUUUCCUUGUACUUUUAGAUUCAGUAUAUAUAGCUUGCUAGCUCAGCUAGAGAGAAACAUUAAGUCUUAGUUCCUAAGUUGACAACUUCACUACACACACAAACUGAUCAACUAUACACAGAAGAAGUGAUUAAGAAGUAGACUACAGUAGUAGUAAUGGCAGAUUGGGGACCGGUGGUGAUAGCGGUGGUGUUGUUUGUGCUGUUAAGUCCAGGGCUACUGUUUCAGCUGCUGGGGAAGAGCAGAGGGGUGGAGUUUGCAAACAUGCAAACCAGCGGACUAUAGUUGUAUUAUAUGCUCUUAAGAACCUGUGCCUCUGUUUCUAGUGACAAAUAUGUCCAAUUUUGUUUCCACUGCCACUUAUUUACUUCUUUCUUUUUAUUUAGAUGACUAUGGUAGUAAUCUAAUUUUGUAGGUAGAAUCCAUCUCCCUUGAUGAAGCUGCAAGGUUAUUACUUGGGGAUGCACACAAUGCAUCCGUAAUGAG